ensembl:snRNA U6 U6 spliceosomal RNA
GUGUUCACUUUUGCAGCACAUAUAUUAAGACUAGAAUGACUCAGAGAUAAUUAGCAUGGCCCCUGCACAAGAAUGACACGCAUAUUCAUAAAGAGGCCUCCACCCUA